ACGGGUUAUAUUUAUAUUCAUAGGCCACGCUACGAGCUUGACACUUUCUUCCCCGUUUACCUUCACCUUAAUACAUUAGCUGCUGUGAUGCUUGACCAUGCUUAAGUAGAGCUAUGGCUAUGUUUGUCUUAAUGUAAAGAAGCUUUGCAAGUUGCCUGAAAUCUGAUGGAAAUGAGCACAGCAAGUUACUUUUUUUAAUGAGGUGCAAAAUCUGGUUUUGAACUUAAGAUGUUCCCCCUUGUCCUUUGAAAUAUUUGGAUUACGAGGGGCAAAAAGCAUCCCAUUUUACAGAAAGAGAAAAGGACUUGCAGGAUCCCAAUAUCUGCUCCAGGCAACAGCGUCAAGAAGCUGCAGAAAACUACCAUGGCCCUAUUGUGUUAAAUUUAGUCAUAGUGCUUUUUGCCCCAUAGGUUUGCAGGCAAGGCAAUACAGGCGAAACCUCGGUUUGGAUGCUGCAGUGCAUUCAACAUUCAGAAGUAUUUGAACCCCUUCUGUCCCUGACCAAAGUCAAAACAUGAAUACAAAUUUCCAAGAUGCUGUUUGUAAAUAGAGGCUUGUUGUUUCAGCAAGUAGGAUUCCCAUCCCAAAUUGGAGAUCCAGGUGCUUAAACAGCAAAGCUCCACGGGACCAUGUGCAGGAGUGAUCAGACUUGUUGACAGCUGUUGAAAAGAUCACUGAAGAAGUAGUUGAAUGCGGGCUUCUGGCUUCUAAUGUUAGCUUCUUAAAUGCCAAGGCAAAUAAGAGCUUGGUUGUUCCAUUAAGAAAGCCUUUGCUGUGUAGAUUGAUACAAGCUUGACUGAACCAGGUUGGACGGGGCUCUGAGCAACCUGAUCUAGUUAACGGUGUCCCUGCUCACUGCAGGGGGGUUGGACUUGAUGACCUCUAAAGGUCCCUUCCAACCCAUAACAUUCUAGGAUUCUAUGAACAACAAAUUGCUUUUAUUAUAACUUUCUUUGUGUUAUUUGCGAGCGUAUUUGAUACGUACUUUAGCAUCAGUUUCUAGAUUCGUUGUCCUUCAGCUCUGAUUUCAGAAGGUGUCAGGAGACCUCUUUAGGCCACCCCUUUCAGCCAACUGCUUCCCCUGCAAAUGGUUAAGGUUAGUUAAGGUGCAUAGGAUGCAGCUGUCUUUCAGAUUCUAGCUGGAACAGGGUGUGCAGAUUUUCUUUGCUUUGAUAAAAUGGUUAUGUUUACUUAAGAAGUCAGUGAUGGGGAACAGACCUGUAACUUCUGCAUGCCACCUUUCUGAGUGCAGGCAUGUUUUAAACAUGUUUUGAUAGUGAUACUGAUGUUACAAGCAUCAGUAAGAACACAUCUGGGGAUAAUAUUCUUGUUACUGAUUUGGAUGUAGUGUUCUUUUGGCAAAGCGGUGCAAAUAGGUAUCGGGUGGUACAAAGUUUGAAGUACCCUAAUUAAAGUGUCUGGACCAGUUUUAUUAGAGUUUAUGAUUAUAACCUGAAAUGUGUAUCUUUUUCACAUAUCCAAAUACUGCUGUGUAGAGCAUUUUUCCAGCAACAGCUACUGUUAAUGGUCAAGUUGAAUGUCACCUGCCUUCUUGGCUUCUUAGGAUGUCUUAACGUUAACACUUCUUCAACUUUUACUCAGCUUUCACUUGUCUUGUCAUCCCUUUGGGCAUUCUUGUGUUAGUUUGACCGUCUUGUAUGCUUCUUUCAAGAACUCUUCGAUCCUAAGCAAUGUUUCCUCAUGUAUUAGUUUCUACAGGCUGCUGUUUGGCUGUGUCAGUCUAUGCAGAGAAUCAGGCUUCUUUCAAAGGUGGCUGCCCAUCCUCUUGCUUCCCCUUGCCCUGCCCCCCUGCCCUGCCCCUUCCAUCUGGCAGAGAGAAAUAGGUGUCUGAAAUUAUUCAAAAGUAUUACCUGUACGGUAAAAUGAUAUUUUUUUCAUUUGUACUCAUGUUAAGAACUCUGUAUUUCUUUCUUAAAUACUUUGCUUUUAAUUUCACGUGUCUAUCUCUUCUGUGAUGUUUUCAUUUGGACGUUGCUAAAGACUUGCUUCUAUUCAGAACUAAUUAUAGUAACUCCUUGGAUCAUACAAGGUAUUACUGUAAAAUACUAGUAAAGGGGAAAACUGCAUCUAAUUUAUGGUCUUGUAAAGUAGAUCUGGGUUUCCAAACUGUGCAGAUAAAUCUUCACAAUAGACUGGAAAUCUGUUGAAUUAUACUGCUGGUUUGAAGUGGUGCAACUCAUAAUGGAGUUGGCUUUGCUAUAGCAGGUUUCAGUGGUCAUGUAUCCUCUUAAUGUGCUCUCAGUCCUCUCUGUCCUUCUGUUUUCUGUAACCACAACAGCAUUCACUGUUGAUUGGCCCCUUGAGGAUAUAAUUGGCACAAGCAUCCAAAGAGUAUUGGGUACCCUCUGAAAGGGCCUGAAGUUGCUGCUUUCUUUUCAACUGCUAGCUCCUUGUCUGGAGAAUUUAGCUUAAUGGAAGUAUCCAUGAGGGAGAAGAAACAAAGGCAGGCUAACAUUGAACCAUUAGGAGAUCUUCUAAGACUUUUUUUACAAAGAGCUUUCAAACCAAAAGUAGGAAAUGGAGACAGUGAAGACUGGAGGAGAUAAGGUUUUGGGAAAAUAAUGCUAAACUGUGUUAGACAAUUCAGUUGGUAGGUCAUGUGGACACAUGAACAAGUAAUGCUGUCACGUAUGGCUUCAGGUACCUCUCAUUCCACUGCUUUGUCUCUUGGGAGUCAUCCCUCCCUACUGCUUUAAAGAUAACUAUUGCAAGAGGCUGGCUACUGCUAUGUCUGUUUACUAUGUCUUCUGCCUCGCUGGCUUGUUCAUAGACAAAUAUUAUCUCUGUAGCAGCAUAUUUGAAGAGCUCAGCUAACAAGCUGUCUUAAUCUUCAUCUGAGAUAGGAAGGUGUCUGUAAACCAUUUUCAGUGAUGCGGAAUGAAACACAGAGAAAAACAGCUCUUGCGAGGAGACUGGCAAAGCAAGGAGCAAAAGGCAUUCUCUCAUAAGUUUCAGCAUCGCAGCGGCAAAAACUAUGUAGUGGCACCACAGGGAAGCACCAAGCUGCUAGCCAUCAAGGCACCAGCUGAAUUUCCUAAAAUGUUGUCUUCUAGCUCUCUCCUAGUAUCUGCAAACAAAGGUGAGAGCUUAUCUAGUACCAACAUUGAAGAAGCUUCAAAACCUUCUGCUGAAGACGUGAGGAUGUUCAUGUCAAGAAAAACCGUGGUUGCAUUUCCUCAGAGAGAAGUUGUUUCUUCCCUUGAGGAGGAAAACCUCACUACACCUGCAACAAGAGGAAGCUUACGAAAAGAGUUAGCUGAGGAAGAGACUUCAUCUUCAUCCAGCUCAGAUUCAGACUCUAGCUCAGAUUCUGAGGAAGAAAAUGAUGGUGAUUCAGAAGUUGCCAUUAAAACCAAAGUUGUGUUUCCUAGACGAGAUUCCAUCUUUUCUGAGAACAUAGCAGUAAAGGCAUCAAUGCUAGCAAAGGAGAACUUGUCCCAGAAGUCCCACAAAGAAUAUGUAGCUAAGAAGAAGCCAUGCAAAACAGAAACUGAUGUGUCUCCUAUCAAGCAGGUUGCAUUUUCUAAAACAUCAGUCAGCCAUGAAACGUCAAAAUCCAAAGCAAGAGACCGCAAAGUGAAAUCAACUCCAAAAGAAGCAGAUCGGCAGAAGCUGGGUUUCAAACCACACGUGGUUGAAAGCCGAGACCUGACCGAUGCCACUCAUAAAUCUGAUUAUGUGGAGGAGAAGUCCAUUGGAACCCAAGUAGCAGCUAUUCAGCUGAAAGCUUCAUCAGUGGCUCAGGAAGAAAAACAGCAAAAACUGGUAUCCAGAGGAGAAGAAAGAAAGGUAAAGAAGGCACAGGAGUCAGAAGCAGAACUAACUGCUCCUAAACUGGAAGAAACUUCUGAAAGCACAGUGGUGGUGAUGGGCACUACAGCAAAGGAGGAGACCGUUCAGGAAACAGGAGUCCAAGCUGGAGAAAGCAGCACAAUAGAGGAAGAAUAUCCUGUGAAAUGCUUGCUCUUUAACAGGGAAGACAUGGAUGAAGCCUGAAGUAUGAGGAGGAUGAGCUCAGAGAUAAAUUUUUCCUUUGAGAAGCCAAGUACAGUGUAUUUGGGCAGGAAAAAUGACACUCCAUCUGCCUUUCUUCAUGAGCAUCUGUCUCUUAAUUUGGAACAACUGUCUCCUGCAGGUUGAAUGUACACUUGCCUACGCUUGCCUGUUCUUGGGGCUAUUUGCAGCAAAGACCGCAUCAUCUGGCUUUUAUAUCUGUGGUGUUGUCUCCUAUGAGCUGUCUCAGUAGGAACCGAGCAGUAGGCACAGGGGUGUUUCCUUUUGUAGGUUGUGUGUGGUGUUUUGCUGAAACCACGGCAUACUACACUGUGUUUUAUAAGCGAGUCUUGCUAAAUGUUAGGGAUACGUGCUCUUAAACUGAUAGCAUUGCAUUGCAAUAAUUAUGGUAUAAUCAAAGGGAAAUUCCCGUGGUUAGUUUCUUGAGUUCUCGUAUUUUUGUCGUAGACGGUCAUAUUACAAAAAGAAGCUUAAUACGAUCUAAACUAAACCACUCUAUACAAAUUUAUGUGAUGAAGCUUUUUGGUAGAUUAUACUUCUGUCCUUCCUGUUGUUAAAACUCUGGGUUUAAGAGAAUAAAUUAAUAUUGGGAGUAAAGCUUUACUUCUUGCAAUUUCCUUGGUUGUAAAAUCAGCUUGUAACAGGAACCUUUUAUGGAAAUGGUACUGCCUAAAUUUGCAUAAUAUUCUAGAAGUGUAAGAAUUAAUGUUGACAUUAAUGUGAAGUAAAGAGUUCCAAAAAACUUUAUUAGGUUAUUCUUUUAAGAAGAAGAGCUGAUACAAAGUUUAGAAGAUUAUAUGUAGAAGAAAGGAAAUUUACAUCAAAGGCUCUUGAUAUAUUACUGUGCAGUAUAACCACAUCUGAAAUUACGCUGUGGAGAUCUCCAUAAUUCCAUCACUUCUCUCCAUGGAAAAAAUUCAGUCUGUAAAGUCGCUAAUAGCUGCGUCUCACGGUCUGACAUGAUGAUACAUCAUUUGUACUGCUGGUUUGCCUGUCCCGGCUUGCUAAGAAUAUCACCUACUGUUCUGGCUGGAGUGAAAACCAAGGCAACUAUGAAAAAGCCAGGAAAUGCAGACAGACCACAGCAGCUGCUGAGCCUGCUCCAGAAGAAUUCGAUAAUUCUACCUACAAGAACCUUCAGCAUCAUGAAUACAACAUCUAUACC